GCCAUUGUAGCUCAGUUGGUAGAGCAGCUCAUUCGUAACGAGCAGGUCGCAGGUUCGAUCCCUGUCAAUGGCUCCA
rnacentral:tRNA from 3 species